AGCUUUCUUCAACUUUCAGUGCGGAACUUCUAAAGGACUGAAAGGGUGGGAAACAGCACAGGGUAAAUCCCAGCCUGCCUCCUCACCUCCACUAAAAGUGAAAUAAUUUCCCUGAUUGACUACUGAUUGCCACAAAUGAGUGCAAAGAAAGGCUGUGAUGACAGGAAGUUAGAACUUUACCCACAUCUCUUCAUAUGUUUUCUUGAGUCCUCCAGAAUAUUUCAGACUUGUCACAACAUACUGAGUGAAGACAUUGAAGCCUAUUGAAGCAAUGACCAGCCUCACCAUUGCACAGCUUCCUACUGCCAUAGGAGAAAUUUGGACCAACAAAAUAUUUCCACCACAAUAGUAAUAUAAAC